CUUGUUUUUAGUAGUAUGCUGAUGGAAGAAAUGAUUCAUAAUAAGCUAAAUGAUUACCUUUUUGCUUGCUGGAAUUUGCAUGUGUGUGAUCUAACAGUUUUAGGUUAUUUGAUGACGUGCAAGUGUCCCAUUAGUCCACAAUAUAUUCAAGAGGUAAAAGUGUGAUUACCAUGACAGCAUAAUAAAUGUGACUUCUUUUCACUUUGAUGUGUUAAGGACAACACACAAGCAGGAAAGAGGCUCUAAUUGAUAUUAUAUCAUUUAUCUGAAUGACUUUUAAAUGCCUAUUGCGGGUGCAGGAAAUAUUAAAGGAGACUAUUGACAGCUAUGAUGAAGCAUAUUGAAAAGUGUUGGUUUGUGGAAGAAAAAUGAUUGUUUAUGCAAUCUUCCUGCCUUUAAGGAGGAGCGUGUUUAUGACAUAGAAAAUAAUUUAAAUCCUGGUGUCAAUGCAGCUAGAAUGAUCCAGAGGAGGGCAGUUAGUAGGGUUGCAAAAGAAGUGUAAUUGGUGUAGGGCUUCAUCUAGGCAAAGCUUGGUAAGAAUUAAUGUAUUGGUUGUUUUUAAGAAGUCAUAGUGAAUUGGCUUUGGAUGGCAAAUGCAUGGUGUGCCAGGAGAAUGUGAAAAACAAGCAUGGAGUAUGACUGGAACCAUCAAUGUAACCAUCACCAUGAAUUUUGUGAAAUGUGAUGCAGAGGGAAGAACACUGAGGUUUCAGUGGCUAUAAAUAACAAUAGGAGGCUGAACAGAGCUCUAAUUCCUUUGCUGUUUCUUAUAUCCCAUAGCAGACAAGUCCAUCCACAGUGCCAAAAGACAGCCUGGGAGAGGAGAGAUAACUGGUAUCUAGGUAUUUGCUGAUAUGAACCAAAAAAAUGGAAACAGAACUGCUUCCCAAGCAGAGAUCAUGUGGAGGAGAUUGCAUGCUAAGCACAGAUCACAAGGCUGUAAAAGAAUGAGUUUCUGCUUACAGACUUGCAGCAGAAAGGCUGGUCAGCUGGAGUUCAGCAGUGGGGAAAGGAUUAGGUCAGACCACAAGGCAACUGAGGCAGAGGAGAGCUACUCGUAUGUAGCUGUGGAGGUCAGCCAAGGGACAGGGGGGUUGCUACUGAGCUGCUCAUCUCAGUAACAGCUAUUCAAGCCAGCAAGGUAGAAAAAUACCAUUUGGGAUCCCCAGCAAUAGCACACCAUGCUUGUCCUGAGCUGCAGAACAGUGCAGUAAUUACAGCAGGUCUGCGGCGGAGCUAAUGACCUGACCCCUUUCUGAAAAGCACCAUUAGCUGGGCUCUGCCAAGUGCUGGGAGAGCAGCACUUGAGGAGGUGAAGUGUGGUGCUCCGUCUUUACGGGGAUUAGGGAGAGCUGUUCUCAUUUACUGCAAAUAAAAGGAGUUCUGAAACUGUGCUGCUUGCUUCC
rnacentral:lncRNA from 1 species